GAAGAAAACGCGCAUGCGCAGAACAUGUGCAUUUUUUCGGUUGCCGCUGAGAAUGUCAGUGCUCAGAGGAAAGAUGCUUCCUGAUCCCCCGGAAGUCAGACUGAGGUUCUGCAGUCGAGCACGUGCUCGGAGAUGAAGACAUGAAGGUUGAUUCUUGUCUCAUCUGGAGUCAUGCUGAUGUUUCAGAGGAAAUCUGAUGCUUCAAGAUCUUAGUUGGUAUUGACUGAGGAGGUCGGGGUCCAGUGGUGAGGAGAUGCAUGAGUAAAGAAUGAUGCUGUAAAUUCAGGUUCCAGUGGACGGUGGUGUGGUUUAAUGGAUGUUUGUGGUCUGCUCUUUAUCCUGGUCUUAUGUCAUUUUUUUUUUUUUAAUUAAAUUCAAAAGUAUUGAAAUACUGACACGGUGGAGUGUCAUGUGUGUGCUUACUGUUAAUAAAAUACCUCAAAACUGA